rnacentral:lncRNA from 1 species
GCAGUAAGCAAAUGAGAAUCGAAAAAGUGAAGUAACUUUGGAGUUGGUGUUUUCGAAGAAGAUGUCACGCUUGAGCUUUUUUUGCUUGCAGAUUGGCAAUCCUCUUUUAGAAUUCAAUUCUGAUAAAAACGCACAAGCAGAGUACUGGUGGUCUCAUGGAUUAAUAUUGGAUGCGACCUUCGAAUUUGACUUCAGUCUGUAACUUUUCUGAAAUUGUUAGACAGAUAGACAUUCGUGGUGGUCCACUUAGCCCUGCUUGUGAUGCAGUAGCGAACCAAUUUGAAAGUGAAGUCCCUGACCAUUUGAUCAACCAAUAUGACGUUACUCGCAAUGUCUGUUUAUCAUCGGUCGAGGCUCAAUCUUUCCAACUGGUAAGCCUUGGUAUUUUCUCCUUUCAUUUCUUUCAAUUUCUCUAUGUUAAUAUACAAACUUCCAACUCACUGAUCACAUCUGCAGCGAAAAACAGAGAAGAUAGAUGUCUGUAUCGGAGAUGAAACAGUUACAUACUUAAACCGACCAGAUGUACAGGAGGUGCUUCAUGCCCGAGUCACAAAUUGGACAACUUGCAGCAAGUAAUCAUCUCAUCUCAUUUGAAUCACUGAUGCACAUAAACAUAGUCGGUUCCGAAGAUGAAUCAAAACAUGAAAAGAGUUCCAAUUAUAUUCCAAACUAUUCAAAGAUUGAAGAAAUGUUCCCUGUGCAGCAAUUCUUUUUUGUUUACUGUGCUUCUAACUUUGAUUAUCCUCUUUUGCAGCAGAGUUGUCAUCCAGUAUGACAUGAAAAACCUGGAAACACCGAUGCUUCCAGUUUUAGGUGACCUUGUCAAGUCUGGAAUUCGGGUUUUAAUUUACAGGUGAUGAGUCUCACCGUUGUACAAAUCAAAACUCUUGCCAUCUCUGAUAAUCUUAGUCUUUUAGAAAGUGUACUUAAAAGUACAUCUUACAUGUUUUCCACAGUGGAGAUCAAGAUUCUGCUAUUCCACUAACGAGUACACGGACACUGGUGAACGGAUUGGCAAAGGACUUGGGGCUACAAACGAACGUGCCUUACAGUGUCUGGGUUCAAGAAAAACAGGUCGGUUCGUGAAUAUAAUAACAGUGGAAAAUUCGGACUAUCUACUUGUGGUCUUAGCAGUUUUUAUCCCUUAUAAAUUUCUAACUUUUCAGGUUGCUGGAUGGACACAAGUAUACAGUGACGCUUUAUCUUACGCUACCAUAAGAGGAGCAGGCCAUGAAGCUCCAAUUUCGCAGCCAGAGAGAUCACUACUUAUGUUUGCCUCAUUUCUGAGAGGAAAGCCACUGCCAAAAGCCAUCACUAAGUACUAACUGACCAAAUUGCAGAAAUCAAGAAGAAGCAUAUAUAUUCAUUUCUUACGCGUGAACAAAUUGUGAGAAAAUCGGACAUUUGGAGGAAUGACCGGCAACAUCCGAAUAAAACUUCUCCCAUAUGUUAAAAAGAGUUUAUUUGACACUCCAGCAGAAAUCGAAAAUGUUCGUCUGAGUUAUUAACAACUUUAAGGAUGAGUCCAGUACAUGGCACCCAACUCGUCAAAUCCACUGGACUUGUGAACAAAAUGAGCAUGGUUAAUAGCCAACUUAUACAAAGCGCGUUGUAUUUCAAACCAAUAACGUACAUUUACAUCAUCUCGCUCGUUCUUACUUCUAAUGAUACGUAUAAACAUAACAUGUUUAAAUUCUUAGAUUGUUCACGGCUAAAAACAGAACCCUUUGCAGGAAAAUUUGUACGUGGUACGUUGCAUUGAGGCACGCCAUAUACUCGGUGAGGCAAGAUAUUCAAUCACCAUUGGAGAUUAAGACUCAGGCCUUUGACAGUUUCCUAAUGAAGGUUAUGCAGAUUAUGUUUAAUAGGCAACUUAUACAAAGCGCCAUGUAUUUCAAACCAAUAACAUACAUCGAUGUCCUCUCGCUAGUUCUUACUUCUUAUGAUGAUGCAUAAUAACAUAACAUGUUUAAAUUCUUAGAUUGUUCGCUGCUAAAACAGAACCCCUUGCAGGAAAAUUUGUACGUGUCACUUUGCAUUGAGGCACACCAUAUACUCGGUGAGGCAAGAUAAUCGAUCACCAUUGGAGGAUACGAUUCAGGCCUUUGACAAUUUCCCAAUGACAGUUAUGCAGAUUAUGUUUGUUUUCCUCUUUUGAGAACCCUUUAGGUUUAUUUUCCUCUUUCAAGAGAACCCUUUAGAUUUAUUUUCCUCUUUCGAGAACCCUUUAGGUUUAUUUUCCUGUGUUUCUAGCAAGACUGUAAUUUGUAGUGAAAUAAGAGAGGGAGGUGUGCAAGAUAAAUUUAUCAAGAACGAAGUAGUAUUCAUCGGAUUCUUCGAUUCCAUGACUCAAGUAGUAGUACUAGUAGUAGUAGAAUUCACCUUUUUAAUUUUAGGCUGUCGGAUCGGAUGAAUUGAAGAAAAUCAACGGACAUAAAUUAUCAAGAUUUUGUGAGAAGUAAAAUGAAGUGUGUGGAUAGCACACCCCAUAAAUAAAUUCCGAUUCGAAUUCGACCCGUUUACCCGUACUAGUAGUUGUUGGUGACACUGGACCACUAUAUGUAUUCUCUUGCAUUAUUUGAAUCUGAACCGUCCAUGAGAAAUCAUACGGCGUAUGUACCCGUAGUCUUACGAGUAUUUCAGAUAACGCGUAUGUUGGAUACAUGAGCUCCUGGACAAUUCGUCUUACACGCUCUUGGACAAUUUGUCUUACACAACUUAGCUAGCUGGUACCAGAUAAAAUCGAGAAAAAAUCUUUAUAUUGUACCAUCCCACACCACAAUUCAUAUGUGAAGCUCGCUGCCUCUCUCUCUCUCUCUCUCUCUCUCUCUCAUGAUGCAGCCUCGACGAGGGAGUGUCGUCGUCGUCGCCGUAGUCUUUGCAACUGUCAUCCAAGCGUUUUCCACGACACACUCCCUCCAAGAAGCUGAUAAAAUCACAAGGUUGCCUGGUCAACCACAGGUCAACUUCCAGCAACAUGCAGGAUAUGUAACUGUGGAUGAAAAGCAAGAGAGAUCUCUUUUUUACUACUUUGUUGAAGCACAAACUGAUCCUGCUUCAAAGCCUCUUGUUCUUUGGCUCAAUGGAGGUGAGCUUCCAUCCAAAUCCAUUUUCAAAUAUAAUCCCUACGGGAAAAAUUUCAUGCGUUGUUUGUUUUUGUUCUUACCAUUGUUCUAAAAAUCUCCGGCCUAAUGCCGUUUAGGCGCUAGACGGCUAGUCACCGUCCCGAUUAAUGCCUAGGCAUUUCAAAAAUAAGAAAUGGUGCCUAAACCUGCUGAGGCACCCUCCUAGUCCGCCCAUACUUGUCUAGGCACCUACUUAGUGGCGACUCACUUAGACAGAAAAUAGAUAACUUUCAUUUUGUAUUUUAUUUUUUUCAAUAAAUUGUAAGAGACUUGCUGAAUAGUUAAAUACACAUUAUAUGCUUGUUCCCCAUGUUUUCGUUAUGUUCCAAUACUUCAUAAUAUAUAUGUCAAUCUAUUUUGUAGUUUAUGAUGAAAUUAUAUAUAUUUUAAGUAUAAACAAACACUUAUUUACACGAAAUAUAACAGAUUUACUUAAAUCCGUCUAGUCCACCUAAGCGCCCGCCUAGACCCCGUCUAGGCGCUAGGUCCCAACCCGCCGCCCGACUAACGCCUAGCGUCUUUUAGAACCUUGGCUCUUACUGCUUCAGCCAACUUAGUGACGCCUAUUUUUGUAACAUUUUAUACAUUGAUGAAUAUGUGUUGCGUAGUACAAUUACAAACCAAAUAACUGAGCUUUGUGAGUUUAAAGUGAAGGUCCUGGUUGUUCAUCUGUUGGAGUUGGAGCUUUCAACGAGAACGGACCUUUUCAACCAAGCGGAGACAUUUUACUCAAGAACGAUUUUAGUUGGAAUAGAGGUAAUUAAUCCAUUAAAUUAGUCUUUAAGUGAUCACAAUUGUGUCACAUUCGUUCUUAAUUAGAUUCUGCUCCCGAUUAUUCACGUAACAUUGAUAGUUUGAUACUAAUUACGAAUUUUCUCCUGUUCAUAUAAUCUUUGCAGAAGCAAAUAUGCUAUACUUGGAGUCACCUGCAGGAGUAGGCUUCUCCUACUCAGCAAACAAAUCAUUCUAUGGCUUCGUGAACGACGAUAUCACAGGUUUUCGCUUCACAUGACUUCCUCAAUCCUCAUUCAACCAACAAAAUAUAACCCGAAAGUAAUAAACAUGUACAUUCUGAUCAUGUUCCGAUUCUCUUCUUUUUAGCACAACAUAAUCUCGAGUUCCUUCAGCGCUGGUUCGACGAAUUCCCCGAGUAUAGAAAUAGGGAUUUCUUUAUCACAGGAGAGAGCUAUGCAGGUAAUAUAAUUUACUUGUAAACACCAUCAUUUUCUAUAACUAAUGACCAAUUAGAAAACUCGAAAGGUACAAACUUAUGACGUGCUUCUAAAAAAUUCCAUUCUGUCACUGCCAGGCCACUAUGUUCCACAGCUUGCACAACUCAUUAUCCAAUCAAAACCGAAGUUCAAUCUGAAAGCAGUGGCAGUAAGCAAACGAGAAUUGAAAAAGUGAAGUGACUUUGGAGUUGAUGUUUUUGACUAAGAUGUCACGCGUGAGCUUUUUUUUGCUUGCAGAUUGGCAAUCCUCUUUUCGAAUUCAAUACUGAUAUCAACUCACGAGCAGAGUACUGGUGGUCUCAUGGAUUAAUAUCAGAUGCGACCUUCGAAAAUUUGACUUCAGUCUGCAACUAUUCUGAAAUUUUUAGACAGGAGGUAAUUCGUGGUGGUCCACUUAUCCCUGCUUGUGAUGCAGUAGCGAACCAAUUUGAAAGAGAAGUCCCUGAACAUUUGAUCGACCAAUAUGACG